AUUGAACGCUGGCGGCAGGCCUAACACAUGCAAGUCGAGCGGUAGCACAGAGAGCUUGCUCUCGGGUGACGAGCGGCGGACGGGUGAGUAAUGUCUGGGAAACUGCCUGAUGGAGGGGGAUAACUACUGGAAACGGUAGCUAAUACCGCAUAAUGUCGCAAGACCAAAGUGGGGGACCUUCGGGCCUCAUGCCAUCAGAUGUGCCCAGAUGGGAUUAGCUAGUAGGUGGGGUAACGGCUCACCUAGGCGACGAUCCCUAGCUGGUCUGAGGGGAUGACCAGCCACACUGGAACUGAGACACGGUCCAGACUCCUACGGGAGGCAGCAGUGGGGAAUAUUGCACAAUGGGCGCAAGCCUGAUGCAGCCAUGCCGCGUGUGUGAAGAAGGCCUUCGGGUUGUAAAGCACUUUCAGCGGGGAGGAAGGCGUUAAGGUUAAUAACCUUGGCGAUUGACGUUACCCGCAGAAGAAGCACCGGCUAACUCCGUGCCAGCAGCCGCGGUAAUACGGAGGGUGCAAGCGUUAAUCGGAAUUACUGGGCGUAAAGCGCACGCAGGCGGUCUGUCAAGUCGGAUGUGAAAUCCCCGGGCUCAACCUGGGAACUGCAUUCGAAACUGGCAGGCUAGAGUCUUGUAGAGGGGGGUAGAAUUCCAGGUGUAGCGGUGAAAUGCGUAGAGAUCUGGAGGAAUACCGGUGGCGAAGGCGGCCCCCUGGACAAAGACUGACGCUCAGGUGCGAAAGCGUGGGGAGCAAACAGGAUUAGAUGCCCUGGUAGUCCACGCCGUAAACGAUGUCGAUUUGGAGGUUGUGCCCUUGAGGCGUGGCUUCCGGAGCUAACGCGUUAAAUCGACCGCCUGGGGAGUACGGCCGCAAGGUUAAAACUCAAAUGAAUUGACGGGGGCCCGCACAAGCGGUGGAGCAUGUGGUUUAAUUCGAUGCAACGCGAAGAACCUUACCUGGUCUUGACAUCCACAGAACUUUCCAGAGAUGGAUUGGUGCCUUCGGGAACUGUGAGACAGGUGCUGCAUGGCUGUCGUCAGCUCGUGUUGUGAAAUGUUGGGUUAAGUCCCGCAACGAGCGCAACCCUUAUCCUUUGUUGCCAGCGGUUAGGCCGGGAACUCAAAGGAGACUGCCAGUGAUAAACUGGAGGAAGGUGGGGAUGACGUCAAGUCAUCAUGGCCCUUACGACCAGGGCUACACACGUGCUACAAUGGCAUAUACAAAGAGAAGCGACCUCGCGAGAGCAAGCGGACCUCAUAAAGUAUGUCGUAGUCCGGAUUGGAGUCUGCAACUCGACUCCAUGAAGUCGGAAUCGCUAGUAAUCGUAGAUCAGAAUGCUACGGUGAAUACGUUCCCGGGCCU
rnacentral:rRNA from 1 species